rnacentral:pre_miRNA from 1 species
GAUUUGAACUGAAAUGGUUAUCAAUAACAAAGUCGUAUAAUUCAUCAAGAUCUAUAACUUUUAUUUGGAUCAUUUUUUCAUCCGAUAAUGUGAUUUGUAACAUUGUUCACAAAAUGUACAUAUCUCUUAUAUAGUUUAUAAACUACAAGAGAGAGAUGUAAAUUUUGUGAACAAUGUUAAUAUCACUUUACCCAAUGAAGAAAUGACAUAAAUAAAAGUUAUAGACAUUGAUGAGUUAUACAAUUUUUGUUGUUGAUAACUUUUUCAGUUGAAAUC